UGGUGUUGUGUGUGUGUGUGAUCUUUUAAAACAAAAUAAAAAAAUAGAAGAGAACAAACCCAUCAGAAAGGUUUGUACCAACGUGAGAGAGAGAGAGAGAGAGAGAGAGAGAGAGAGAGAUCAGCCGUGAGGAGAGAAGAAGAAGGAAGAAAGGGAUUAAGGGUUUUGAAGCUUAAUUAGGUAACAAGCCGGUCAAAUAGGAGGUGCCGAAACCGUAAGUUUGGUGUAUAUCUCGGUCGAUGCAAAGGUAGCAGGUUGCGUAGAGUGGGUCCACUACCGGUCAUCGUGUUGAGAAGUGAUUGGGCUAGCAUUAGAUGAUGUGGAUGAACGAGUUGGUUGUAGGUAGUAAACUAAAAAGUUGAUUUAUGUAAGUUAUAAAUAAGUCGUUGGUGGAUGUAUUAAAGUGUAAAAUUUUUAAAGUAUUGUAAAACUAUAUUGUUGUUUAGUUGUGUGAGAUCGAUGUUGGUUGGUCGAUACGUCGACUCAUUUUUAUGUUAA